AUACUUACCUGGACGCGGUCAAAUGGGCGAUCAUGAAGGCUCAUGGCCUAGGUAGGUGACUUCCAUUGCACUUUGGAGGGGCGCCUGCCUAACAUCUCCCCAAGAGGGAGAGUGUACGUCAUAAUUUGUGAUAGGGGGCUUGCGUUCGCGCAGCCCCUAC
rnacentral:snRNA from 1 species